rnacentral:rRNA from 1 species
UACAGAGGUCUCGAGCGUUAGGCGGAAUCACUGGGCUUAAAGCGUGUGUAGGUGGAUCGUUAAGUACCUUGUGAAAUCCCACGACUUAACCGUGGAACUGCUUGGUAUACUGGCGGUCUUGAGCCACUUAGGGGCUACCGGAACAAAUGGUGGAGCGGUGAAAUGCGUAGAUAUCAUUUGGAACGCCAAUGGUGAAAACAGGUAGCUGGGAGUGUGCUGACACUGAGACACGAAAGCCAGGGGAGCAAACGGG